UUUAGCCUUUUCCUAAUUACAUCUUCAUCUGUGGGAGUGCGUUGCCACCUUCCCCACACAUUUAUCUUGCUUUCACUCCUCCGGGAACUUUCUAGUUCUGAGUUGUCAGCUGGGAGGAUUAGGUUUGCCUCACUCGUGAUCCUGUGGGUAAGGGCUGUAAAGGGGGUGUAUUACAUAAUUAAUCCUUCCAAUUUCACUUUGCAGCUCCAUCUCCAGCCCACUGUUCUCACGUUUCUGUUUUGCUCUAAUAUGGAGGAGGUGAGAAAAUAAUGCUGGUGUGUGGGUGUGUGUUGCCUGAAGGAUUUCAAGGACCAGGAUUGCUGCUCUCUGAACAGUUUGAAAUAAUUUCCUCUGGGGGUGGCAAUGGAGACCUGAAGAAGAGUUGCACAUCUGAGCCUGAGGAUAAUAUCAGUAAAAUAUGGGAUCUGCAAAAGAUAAAGCUGAGGACAUACACGAACAGGAGAACAUCUUUUUCCUCUGAUAAAACCUUUCUCCCCAAAAUAAUUUUUUGGGGGAAGAAGAUGGAACGAAGUUGCUGCUGUGAUGAUUCUAACUGAAGUAGAGCUCAUCUUCCUGGGUUAUUGAUCUGGUUGUGGACUUCGGAAGAAUCUUGAGAUUCUGCUAGUUCACCUGUGGUCCCUGAUAAAGAGAAGAUCAACUUAUACUAAACUCUGCAUAAUACAGGUAUAAUUGUGUGACCAAUGUGUGGUGCCCAUCUUCUCUCUUUCUUGAAACUAAAUAAAACAGAAAAUGGUAGAAGCAGAAGAGCCAAAACUGAGUACAUGAACUUUAUAUGUGGUAUACUUGUAUUUUCUUUCAGGGAAAAAAUGUUUCAUGAGCAGUGCAUAAUGAGCUGUUCAUAGUAUUCAGAAACCUGCUUGAUAUAAUAAAAACACUCUGGAAA